GACGAACGCUGGCGGCGUGCCUAAUACAUGCAAGUCGAACGCAGUGGGGACGGGUGAGUAACACGUGGGUAACCUCCCAUCAGAGGGGAUAACACUUGGAAACAGGUGCUAAACCGAUACUGAUGGAUGGACCCGGGGGGCAUUAGCUAGUUGGUAAGGUAACGGCUCACCAAGGCCACGAUGCAUAGCCGGCCUGAGAGGAUGAUCGGCCACACUGGGACUGAGACACGGCCCAGACUCCUACGGGAGGCAGCAGUGGGGAAUCUUCGGCAAUGGGCGAAAGUCUGACGGAGCCAUGCCGCGUGAGUGAAGAAGGUUUUCGGAUCGUAAAGCACUGUUGGUAGGGAAGCGGUAUCUAACGAGAAAGCCACGGCUAACUACGUGCCAGCAGCCGCGGUAAUAC
rnacentral:rRNA from 1 species